ensembl:snoRNA
GCGGUGAUGUCUUUUGACACGUGUUAGACUGCUGACAUACGUGAAGCAAAACUACUUCUGAGC